rnacentral:rRNA from 1 species
CUGGCUCAGGAUGAACGCUAGCUACAGGCUUAACACAUGCAAGUCGAGGGGCAGCAUUGGGAUAGCUUGCUAUUCAGAUGGCGACCGGCGCACGGGUGAGUAACGCGUAUCCAACCUUCCUGCCAGUAGGGAACAGCCCGGCGAAAGUCGGAUUAAUGCCCUAUGUUCUUCAAUGCGGACAUCUAAGUUGAAGGAAAGAUUCAUCGCUGGCAGAUGGGGAUGCGUCCGAUUAGCUUGCCGGCGGGGUAACGGCCCACCGGGGCGACGAUCGGUAGGGGUUCUGAGAGGAAGGUCCCCCACACUGGUACUGAGACACGGACCAGACUCCUACGGGAGGCAGCAGUGAGGAAUAUUGGUCAAUGGGCGUAAGCCUGAACCAGCCAAGUAGCGUGCCAGGAUGACGGCCCUACGGGUUGUAAACUGCUUUUAUGCGGGGAUAAAGUGCGGCACGUGUGCCGCUUUGCAGGUACCGCAUGAAUAAGGACCGGCUAAUUCCGUGCCAGCCGCCGC